CAGCAGCCGCGGUAAUACCGGCGGCCCGAGUGGCGGCCACUAUUAUUGGGCUUAAAGCGUCCGUAGCCGGGUUGGUUAGUCUCCCGGGAAAUCUGGCCGCUUAACGGUCAGAAUUCCGGGAGAUACUGCCAGCCUAGGGACCGGGAGAGGCCGAGGGGAUUCCCGGAGUAGGGGUGAAAUCCUAUAAUCCCGGGAGGACCACCUGUGGCGAAGGCGCUCGGCUGGAACGGGUCCGACGGUGAGGGACGAAGGCCAGGGGAGCAAACCGGAUUAGAUACCCGGGUAGUCCUGGCUGUAAACGAUGCCCACUAGGUGUGGGGGAUUAAUUCCUCCGUGCUGGAGCUAACGCGUUAAGUGGGCCGCCUGGGGAGUACGCCCGCAAGGGUGAAACUUAAAGGAAUUGGCGGG
rnacentral:rRNA from 1 species